rnacentral:rRNA from 1 species
AGAUUGAACGCUGGCGGCAGGCCUAACACAUGCAAGUCGAGCGGCAGCACGGGUACUUGUACCUGGUGGCGAGCGGCGGACGGGUGAGUAAUGCCUAGGAAUCUGCCUGGUAAUGGGGGAUAACGCUCGGAAACGGACGCUAAUACCGCAUACGUCCUACGGGAGAAAGCAGGGGACCUUCGGGCCUUGCGCUAUCAGAUGAGCCUAGGUCGGAUUAGCUAGUUGGUGGGUAAUGGCUCACCAAGGCGACGAUCCGUAACUCGGUCUGGAGAGGAUGAUCAGUCACGACUACGGAACUGAGAACGACGGUACCGAGACUCCGUACGGGACGGCAGGC